rnacentral:rRNA from 1 species
CGGGGAGGUAGUGACGAAAAAUAACGAUACGGGACUCAUCCGAGGCCCCGUAAUCGGAAUGAGUACACUUUAAAUCCUUUAACGAGGACCAAUUGGAGGGCAAGUCUGGUGCCAGCAGCCGCGGUAAUUCCAGCUCCAAUAGCGUAUAUUAAAGUUGUUGCGGUUAAAAAGCUCGUAGUUGAAUCUGUGUGUCACAGUGUCGGUUCACCGCUCGCGGUGUUUAACUGGCAUUAUGUGGUACGUCCUACCGGUGGGCUUAGCUCUCUACGGGGCGGUCCAACUAAUAUCCCAUCGCGGUGCUCUUCAUUGAGUGUCGAGGUGGGCCGGUACGUUUACUUUGAACAAAUUAGAGUGCUCAAAGCAGGCUACCUUCGCCUGAAUACUCUGUGCAUGGAAUAAUGGAAUAGGACCUCGGUUCUAUUUUGUUGGUUUUCGGAACCCCGAGGUAAUGAUUAAUAGGGACAGAUGGGGGCAUUCGUAUUGCGACGUUAGAGGUGAAAUUCUUGGAUCGUCGCAAGACGGACAGAAGCGAAAGCAUUUGCCAAAAAUGUUUUCAUUAAUCAAGAACGAAAGUUAGAGGUUCGAAGGCGAUCAGAUACCGCCCUAGUUCUAACCAUAAACGAUGCCAGCUAGCGAUCCGCCGAAGUUCCUCCGAUGACUCGGCGGGCAGCUUCCGGGAAACCAAAGCUUUUGGGUUCCGGGGGAAGUAUGGUUGCAAAGCUGAAACUUAAAGGAAUUGACGGAAGGGCACCACCAGGAGUGGAGCCUGCGGCUUAAUUUGACUC